AACAACCUAAGCUCCACCAAGUGUUGCCUUCAAAAAGUCUACUAUGAUUUAUUGUCUACGGCUCUGUCAAAGCAGUCAGAUGUAACUGAAUAAAUUAGCAAUUUUAAAGACCUAAAAGUUAAUUCUCUUCGGAAUUCGGCAGAAACAUUAAAUGCCAUUGUCAGCGAAAUUCAGACGCGAAAUGUUAACAGCAAUGAAAACAGCAAAGAAAAAGAAGGAACAAAAUGGAUCUGAUGAAACAGAAGAAAUUGAUAACGAUAUUGUUAGAAGCGAAUCGAUUCUAUCAAAACCCGUUGACUCUGCACAGCCCCUAGCUAUAGAAGAAACAUCUAACGAAAAGAACAUAGAGUCAACGAAAAAGUGAUUUGUUAUUCUGAAGUAAUUUGUAUGUGUAAAUGUAAUCGUUAUAUUUCUGUCGUAUUUACCAAGUAAAGUCGUUUCCAAACGAAA